UGCGAAGGGGGCUAGCGUUGCUCGGAAUCACUGGGCGUAAAGGGUGCGUAGGCGGGUCUUUAAGUCAGGGGUGAAAUCCUGGAGCUCAACUCCAGAACUGCCUUUGAUACUGAAGAUCUUGAGUUCGGGAGAGGUGAGUGGAACUGCGAGUGUAGAGGUGAAAUUCGUAGAUAUUCGCAAGGACACCAGUGGCGAAGGCGGCUCACUGGCCCGAUACUGACGCUGAGGCACGAAAGCGUGGGGAGCAAACAGG
rnacentral:rRNA from 1 species